rnacentral:rRNA from 1 species
AUAGAGACUCAGAGCUGCAUAUCAAUAAGCGGAGGAAAAGAAACUAACAAGGAUUCCCUUAGUAACGGCGAGUGAAGCGGGAAGAGCUCAAAUUUGAAAUCUUCAAGGUUCUACCUUGACGAAUUGUAGUUUAUAGAAGUGUUUUCUGUUAGUAGAGUGGCAAAAGUUCUUUGGAAUAGGACAUCAUAGAGGGUGAGAAUCCCGUAUUUGGUCAUUCCUCCUAGCGUUGUGAUACACUUUCAACGAGUCGGAUUGUUUGGGAAUGCAGUCCAAAAUGGGUGGUAAAUUUCAUCUAAAGCUAAAUAUUGGCGAGAGACCGAUAGCGAACAAGUACCGUGAGGGAAAGAUGAAAAGAACUUUGAAAAGAGAGUUAAACAGUACGUGAAAUUGUCAAAAGGGAAGCGUUUGACACCAGUGUUGUUUUUCCGAAAAUCAAUUACGAAUGUUUUGUUUUUGAGGAGUUAUGACUUCAUCGGCUUGCUUCCUUUCUUUAUGAAACUUUCUUAAUGCACUUUUCGGUUAACAAGUCAACAUCAAUUUCUUUUGUUGUAAAAGGGUAUGAGGAAGGUGGCUUUCUUUUCGGAGAAAGUGUUUAUAGCCUCGUGCCUCUAGCAAUCGGAGAGAUUGAGGUCUGCAGCGUAGAUCCUUCGGGGUUAGAUACAUUUGUGCUAAGUUAUAGCUUUUCAUAGACAACUUGUUGACUAUGUUUAGUCUUGUAGCUUACUCGCUGACGCUAUUUUACCUACGCUUAGGAUGUUGAUAGUCACAGCGUGUAC